AAUACAAGUUUGUGAGGUAUAAGACGAGCCGAUGCUAUUCCCGACUGCAAUAUUUCACAAUUGUUUACAAUUUUACCGCUUUGGUACAAAAUACAUCCAAUACAUGUGUAUGACAUUAGGAAUGAUACGAUGCAGUUCUCAUACCUAAAUCAGUGGAAUGGCCUCUCUAAGUUGUCUUCAACUGCCUUGUUCCGUUUUUGAUCGCGUCGACAGGUGCCAUCUGUCCACAAGCUGUUCAAAGAAAGAGAGAGACGCGAAGUUAACAUCAAGAUACAUAAACCAUACGAUAAAGACAUGAAGCCAGGGUGGUUUAAACAAGUUAUGCUAAUCACAAUUACGACUUACACAAUUACGAGUGGAUCAAGGCACGACACAUACUGGGGAGAAAAAGCACCGAAGGGUUGUAUCCCUUGCCCAAAAAACAGAGAAGGAUUAUUCGAUACGCCAAUAUGUGGAACGAACAAAGUUGCUUACAAAAACCACUGCUAUUUACGGUUAAGAAAUUGUAUCGCUAAAUUACUCCGAAAACCUUUCGUCCAAGCCUCGAGAAAACCAGCUCUUUGUGGUUUGAGAAUG